GGUUAAGCGACUAAGCGUACACGGUGGAUGCCCUGGCAGUCAGAGGCGAUGAAGGACGUGCUAAUCUGCGAUAAGCGUCGGUAAGGUGAUAUGAACCGUUAUAACCGGCGAUUUCCGAAUGGGGAAACC
rnacentral:rRNA from 2 species